rnacentral:tRNA from 1 species
CUCCGUGUAGCGCAGUUGGUAGCGCGCCUGCUUUGGGAGCAGGAUGUCGGCGGUUCGAACCCGUCCACGGAGACCA